UACGUAGGGUGCGAGCGUUGUCCGGAAUUAUUGGGCGUAAAGAGCUCGUAGGCGGUUCCGUAAGUCGGAUGUGAAAACUCGGGGCUCAACCCCGAGACGCCAUCCGAUACUGCGGUGACUUGAGUCUGGUAGGGGAACACGGAAUUCCUGGUGUAGCGGUGAAAUGCGCAGAUAUCAGGAGGAACACCGAUGGCGAAGGCAGUGUUCUGGGCCAGUACUGACGCUGAGGAGCGAAAGCGUGGGGAGCAAACAGG
rnacentral:rRNA from 1 species